rnacentral:lncRNA from 10 species
CGGGCAGGAACCGGUCAUCCCAUUUCACAGAUGAGAAAUAUAGGUUCAGAGAAAUAAAAGUAAGCGACUGAAGCUCUCUCCAGGGAUCCCAGAGGGGACAGGGCUCAGUCUGCCCAUCUGUGAAAUGUGUGCGUGGGUUGAGAUGAUUAUCUCUGAGGUGUGGUGCAUUCCAUGACCUCCGAGAAGCUCUACACGGCCACCCGCGGGCCCCAGGGCGUCAGCCGUUCCUACACCCCGGGCCCUCUCGGGGACCGAGUUUCCCAGACUGCUCUUGGUCCCUCCGCUCCCACCCUCCUCGCUACCCCCGUCCUCCGCCCUGCCCCGUGAACCCUCUCCGCUGCCGCCUCCCCUCGCCCACCUCGACGGCCAUGUUCGUGGGUGGGGAGAGGCCAGCCCGACCCUCGGACGGCGGGACUCGCGGGCUACUUUAGGGUUACCAAUGAUCCUGAUCUGCCCAAGGCUGAGGAGUUUCCCAGGAUAUGGGACUUUCACUGCUAAAACCAGGAUAGUCCCAUGCAAAGCAGCAUGGCUGAUCACCCUACUUGCUGCCAUGAGACUACCACCAUCCUCGAGGAUGAUAGAUCCCAAGGAGAGAGUGACCCAGUCAACAUCCAGCCCCAUCAGCAUGUGACUUAUCCAGCCCCAGUCCAGUCACCAGAUAAUAGCAAAUGCAUGAGUUAAUUCAGGUGAGACCAUCAGAACGAUCUAGCUGAACUUGUCUCAAAUUGCUGUCCUCUGUUGGAGUUUUUCUGCACAUAAAAAAUAAAAUUGCUGUCCUACAUAACUGUAAACAAGCAAAAUGGUUGUUUUUAUAAACCACCUAGUUUUGGAGUUGUUUGUUAUAUAGCAGUAGAUAACUGUUACAAUACUGCAACCCUUUAACUACAGGGAAUUAUGCUUAAAACCUAAGGAGUAGACUCCAAUUUUAAGACAAUAAAGCCCAGCCCUCCCUCACCACUUGUUCAUUUCUUAGACUCAAAGAAUAUUGGUUGAGUGCUUACUGUGUACUAGGAACUGUAUCAUGGGCUUAGCAUCCACUACUGAACAAGACAGGUAAGUACUCUGCCCUCAAAAAUCUUAUCCAGUUUGGGAUACAGAUAUUAAAUGAAUAAUUAUAAGUUACGGGGUGCUUUAAAAAUAAAUGGGACUGAAUAGAAGUGAAGGAGUGUAAAAAAAGCAAGUCUUUUUUAAAAAAGAAGUGGCAUUUAAACUCAGUUCUGAAGUAGGAGUUAUCCAGGUGAAAAUUGGGCUGAAGUGUGUUCCAGGCAGAGAGAGCAGCAUAUGGGAAAGCUGUGGACUAGGAAGGCUCUUGAUGAGGAGGGACAAAGUAGCUGGAGUUUAGGAGCUAGGAAAAAAGAGGCAGAAAGUGAAACUAGAGAUGCAGGCAGAAGCCCAAUCCUGCAGAAUCUUAUAGGCACAGUGAGGUUAAAAUGCACCUAUCUGGCAUCCAUCUUUUCAAAAUAUGUCCAGCUCCAUCUGCUUUUUCUUAAAGACAUCUUAUGAGGCAACUGUGCUAUAUGGAAAGAUUGAUAAACUGGAAGAUAGAAUGCUGUAUUUGUUCAUUUUGUGCUUCUGUAACAGAAUACCACAGCCUGGGGAACUUAUAAUAAACAGAAAGGUAUUGGCUCACAGUUCUGUAGACUAGGAAGUCCAAUAUUAAAGUGCUGACGUCUGUCAAGGGCCUUCUUGCUGCAUCAUAACAUGGUGGAAGAUCAAGGAGAGGGCGAGAGACAGCAAGAGGGGGCAAACCCACUCCCUCAAUAACAAACCUAUUCCCAUGAUAACAACAUUAGUCCAUCCAUGAGAGUGGAUCCCUCAUGACCUAAACCACCUCUUAGAAAUUCCACCUCCCAAUACUUUCAAAAUGGCAAUUAAAUUUCAACAUGAAUUUUGAAGAAGACAAACAUUUAAACCAUAGCAAGUCCCUAAAUCCAUUUCAGCAAAUAAUUAAAUUUCACCAACCUAGGUUUUCUUAUCUAUCAAAGGAAAUAAUAAUCCCUAUACACUACAAUAUAUAUUUCAGGCAUGGGAUGGGUACAAAGUGAGUGAGUAUGGGAAGGAACACUAUAAAAUGACAAGUGUUCUAUAAAUAUAAGGGCUAUGAUAUUGAGGUGCUGAUAGGCCCACACCCCAUGUUUUUGGUCAC